GCAGGCGCGCGGCGGUGACAGGCAGGACCUCCGCGGCCGCCGGGACCAGCGAGCGAGGGAGCGAGGGAGGGAGCGCGGUCACGCCGGGCCGCGCCGCUCAGGUGGCGCCUUCCCGCUCAGGUGAGCUCCUCCCGCGCCUCCCAUUGGCGGAGGCGCCCGCGGCCGGCGCUGGAAGGGCGACGCAGCCCGGUCUAGUUCAGGGUCUAGGGCGGCGCGUCACUUCCGGUAGCGCGGAGCUUGUAAAACACCCUGGAGAGAAAAUGGCGGCGGCGACGGCGGCGGCGGCGCCUCAGCAGCUCUCGGAUGAGGAGCUUUUCUCUCAGCUCCGCCGUUACGGCUUAUCUCCGGGUCCCGUGACGGAGAGCACCCGGCCCGUCUACCUCAAGAAGCUGAAGAAGCUUCGCGAGGAAGAGCAGCAGCAACAGCAGCAACAGCAGCAGCAGCAGCACCGGGCGGGGGGCCGCGGCAACAAGACGCGGAACAGUAAUAACAAUAACACGGCGACGGCGAUGGGGGGCCGGCCGGGCUCCGGGGACCUCGCGUACUUACGGAGCCCCGCGGGCCUCGGCCGCCUGUCGGCCUCGGCUGCCGAGAGCCCCGUGGCAGGAGGCUCCGGGGGCGCGGCGGCCGUCCCCGCGGCGGGCAGCAAAGUGCUGCUGGGCUUCAGCUCGGACGAGUCGGACGUGGAGGCCAGCCCGCGGGAGCAGGCGGGCGGCGGCGGCGCGCGGAGGGACCGGGCUGCGCUCCAGUACCGCGGGCUCAGAGCCCCACCGGCGCCCCCGGCCGCGGGCGAGGUGACGGGCGGCCACCCGGGCGAGCGGAGGAAGCCGCACUCGUGGUGGGGGGCGCGGAGGCCGGCGGGCCCCGAGCCGCAGCCCCCGGCGGCGGGGAGCGACGGGGCCGCGGAGGACGCGGACGAGGAGCUGGCGGACGGUGAGGACCGCGACCCCGAGGCCGAGGAGCCGCUGUGGGCCAGCCGAACGGUGAACGGCAGCCGGCUUCUCCCCUACAGCAGCUGCCGGGAGCACUACUCGGACUCGGAGGAGGAGGAGGAGGAGGGGGAGGAGGACGGCGACGUGGCCCCGGCCAGACAGGUAUUAAAGGACGACUCCCUCGCCCGGCAUCGACCCAGACGGAGCCAUAGUAAGCCGUUCUCGGCGCUGACUGCUAAAUCUGGCGGCAGCCGGCAGGAGACUUCGGUUCAGGGAGGGGGAGCACUCGCGAUGAAUGACAGGGCGGCGGCCGCGGGGAGUCUAGACAGGAGCCGAAACCUCGAGGAGGCGGCGGCCGAGCCGGGAGGAGGAGGAGGAGGAGGGUGCGGGUGCGAUCCAGUGGACUCCAUUCCUCGAUACCGUGCCGGCGCGAAGAAGCUGGCCCCGCUGCUGUCGCCUCCGAGUCCCGAUGGGGACUCCACCUUGGAGUCGCCCACGGGGCCCCUCCUCAAAACCAAUAAUCACAUAGGCGGCGGGGCCUUCGGCGUGGAUUCCCCCGGUCUGUAUGCCAACAGCCUCCCUCCCGGGGCCACCGCCGCGGCCGCCCCUGGCACACUCAGGAUCAACCACGCCAACCAUACUGGCUCCAAUCACACCUACCUGAAAACCGCCUACGGCAAGCCGAAGCUCUGCGAGCCCGAAGAGGAACUUCUCCAGCAGUUUAAACGGGAGGAGGUGUCCCCGACGGGGAGUUUCAGCGCUCACUACUUGUCGAUGUUCCUCCUAACCGCUGCCUGCUUGUUUUUCCUAAUACUGGGACUGACUUACCUAGGAAUGAGAGGGACGGGAGUACCCGAGGACGGAGGACUCAUAAAAAACCCCUUUGAUGAAACAUUUGGAAAAAUACAAGAAAGUGAAAAAAAUCUUUUGAUGAGCACAUUGUACAAACUUCAUGAUCGAUUGGCCCAGAUUGCAGGAGACCAUGAAUGUGGCAGUUCUAGUCAAAGGAUGCUUUCUGUCCAAGAAGCAGCUGCAUAUUUAAAAGUGUGUUGGUUACGGGCCUGAGGAAGACUUGACAAACAUAACUGAUGUGCAGUUUUUACAGUCCACCAGGCCCCAGAUGCCCUUCUGGUGCCGUUUCCGGCGUGCUUUCAUUACUGUGACCCAUAGGUUAUUGUUGUUAUGUUUAGGUGUAGUGCUGGUGUGCGUUGCUCUCCGGUACAUGAGAUACCGCUGGACUAAGGAGGAGGAGGAGACGAGGCAGAUGUAUGACAUGGUGGUAAAGAUUAUAGAUGUUUUGCGAAGUCAUAAUGAAGCUUGCCAGGAGACUAAAGACUUACAGCCUUACAUGCCUCUUCCACAUGUCCGCGAUUCCCUAAUACAGCCGCAGGACAGGAAAAAGAUGAAGAAAGUCUGGGAUAGAGCUGUUGACUUCCUUGCUGCUAACGAAUCUAGAGUCCGUACGGAGACUCGAAGAGUAGGCGGUGCAGACUUUCUAGUCUGGCGGUGGAUCCAGCCCUCUGCGUCUUGUGACAAGACAUUAGUUAUACCCUCUAAAGUAUGGCAAGGUCAAGCAUUUCAUUUAGAUAGAAGAAAUUCACCACCAAAUAGUUUGACUCCAUGUUUAAAGAUUCGAAAUAUGUUUGACCCGGUUAUGGAAAUAGGAGAUCACUGGCACCUGGCGAUCCAAGAAGCGAUUUUAGAGAAGUGCAGUGACAAUGACGGCAUCGUUCAUAUUGCCGUAGACAGGAACUCGCGGGAGGGCUGUGUCUAUGUUAAAUGUUUGUCUCCGGAAUAUGCUGGGAAGGCUUUUAAAGCAUUGCAUGGCUCUUGGUUUGAUGGAAAAUUGGUUACAGUAAAAUACUUACGACUAGAUAGAUACCACCAUCGCUUUCCCCAGGCCCUCACUUGCAACACUCCCUUGAAGCCAGCAAAUAAACAUAUGAACUCUCUGUCUCACCUGCGCCUGCGGACUGGCCUAGCUAAUUCUCAAGGAAGUUCCUGAAAAGAUGUCUUCACUCCUAGGACUGUUAAUUUAAAUAGGAAAUUCCCAUUUGGCUUCCUGUCUUCCUUUGAAAAUGCUUUUUGUAUGUAAUAUUUUUAUUGCUGAAGACAGCUGUUUGAGAGUUCUGCAAAUCUUCAGGUUCCGAAGGCUUUGGCAGUGAGGCAGGCAGUGCCUAGGAGGCAGAGAAGGACGUCUCACUCAGUUUGUGCGGCUCAGGUAUGCCAGGCUGCACAUGAGGAGCACCGGCUUGACAGCAAGCGGUUCCGAGAUGGUGCUUGUAGGCGUGCACCAAGAGUGUUAGAGAACCACGGACAAGCAUGGCAAAGCAGCUUGUUUUGUAUUUCCAUAAUUUGUGAACUAAUGUGAAUUUUUGUAUACAGUAAGCCGCAUCGUUCCUUACAGGCCACUGUGGUAAAACCAUUCACUUCCCACUUUAACCUUAGGUUCCUAUUGCUUGUAAAAGGUUCAUUUGCUGCAGCUGGAAUAUGGGGAAAUUUAUUUGGUUUUAAUGGUUACAUACAUGUAAGAGGGUGUACAUGUACUUACAUUGGCUUUUGUAUAUAUGUAUAAAUGCUGAUGAUAGCGAAAGUCUUGUUUUGUGAGAAUGUCUGCAUUAGCAGUAAAAUAAGCUUUCUAUUUUACUCAUAAUCUAAUCUGUAUAUAUAUACAUAUAUAUAUAUGUAUAUGUGCGUAGCUGUGUGUCUAUGUACAUAUGUAGCUGCACAUAUGUACAUAUCCACACAGAUAUAUACAUAUGGCUGUACAGUCAUAGAUGAUCAAACAGCCAAAUACCUGGAAGUAUUAGAUACAUGUUUAAAAUAUCUUUUAUAGAUUUUAUAUAAAAAUAUCCGAGUAUGGUUUUGUGUAGAAGUUCUGGCACCAGCUGUAAUGAGUUCAAAUUUAUGUGAGCAAUAAAGAAGCAAUUGGCAGAUACUGGAAAAUAUUUUGUGAAAAGCUGUAUUUAUUAUAAAUACUGGGACUGUGACAGAACUAAAGGGAUUAUGUCAUUUCCCAGUCUGUUUAUAGCUUAAAGAACUGUUAGCUCCUGUUCUGUGUCCAGUGUAAAACAGGGUGCAUUGUUGCAGCAAAAUGUACUAGACAAAUUUCCUUGGAAUGUUGGGCCAUGCAAGUUUGCAGUGUAGAUCGUGCACGAAUGACCAUUGGUUUGUGCCUCAGUGUUUAUUUCAGUAUGAUUUCAGAUCAGAAUAGUUACUGAUCAAGGUUUACUUGUAACCUAAAAAUUGGCUUUUUGAAAAAUAACCUGCUGGAUAGAUCAUUGUUGGUCCAAGGGAAGAUGUGAAACAGCUGGAAUUACAUGAAUCUUAAUUUUUACGUUAAGUUCAGUUUUCUUUUUGUUGUGUAUGUGUUUGGUUUGCAGCAUGAACUUGCACAGAUAAUGCACGUUUUCUGGUUAAGUAAACAUGAUGCACACUAUUCUGUAACAGAAAACCCUUGUGCCUUACCUGUGUGCUUUUGUGGGCACCAUGUUUAUGAAGAAUAAAUGAUUUGUUAUCAGAAGAGAAUAAAUUUUAAAUUCUCAAUCUAUGUCUCAGAUGCUAAUGUGUUAAAAUAUAUAUAUAUAAUAUAUAAAGUAACCAAUCUUUCUGUAUUUUAUGUGCAUCAUAGUGAUUUAUUUGAGCUUAGUGACACAAUCUUGUAACCUGUUGCAAGAGUGAAUGUAAAAUAAUAUAGUUGUGGCAUUUAAACAGGUCACCUUUUGAUGCAGAUGCAUCCUUUUCUUGCUUCUAAGAUAUAUUUCAUGUAAACAUUGUACAUUUAUUAUUGUAAUAUAUACUAUUAUGCAGCUUAUUUUACCUGGAACUCUUAAGCCGACCAAGAGUCCUCCCUGUAAGACAGAUGGGAAUGUGUAUAAUAAUUAGGUAUUUGAAAAGUUCUGCUUUGAUGUAAUUUGUUUCUUGUUCUGUUUUAAAAAAAGAAGGAAAACAUUCUAAUUAAAAAUUUAUUAGGUUUUUUUAAAAA